rnacentral:rRNA from 1 species
GUAUCCUACGGGGCGCAGCAGUGGGGAAUAUUGCACAAUGGGGGGAACCCUGAUGCAGCGACGCCGCGUGAGGGAAGAAGGUUUUCGUAUUGUAAACCUCUGUCCUCUGUGACGAUAAUGACGGUAGCAGAGGAGGAAGCCACGGCUAACUACGUGCCAGCAGCCGCGGUAAUACGUAGGUGGCGAGCGUUAUCCGGAAUUACUGGGUGUAAAGGGAGCGUAGGCGGGGGAACAAGUUGAAUGUUUAAGAUAUGGGCUCAACUCAUAUAAGCGUUCAAAACUGUUUUUCUUGAGUGAAGUAGAGG